rnacentral:rRNA from 1 species
GACGAACGCUGGCGGCGCGCUUAACACAUGCAAGUCGAGCGAUAACCAUGGCUUCGGCCAUGGGGACAGCGGCGAACGGGUGAGUAACACGUGGGCAAUCUGCCCUCGGCACUGGGAUAGCCCGGGGAAACCCGGAUUAAUACCGGAUAGCCUCUCGAGCUCUUGGGCUCGUGAGAAAAGAUAGCUUCGGCUUUCGGCUGAGGAGGAGCCUGCGGCGGAUUAGCUUGUUGGCGGGGUAACGGCCCACCAAGGCGACGAUCCGUAGCUGGUCUGAGAGGACGAUCAGCCACACUGGGACUGAGACACGGCCCAGACUCCUACGGGAGGCAGCAGUGGGGAAUCUUGCGCAAUGGGCGAAAGCCUGACGCAGCGACGCCGCGUGAGGGAAGAAGGCCU